rnacentral:rRNA from 11 species
CACUGAUUGGAUGCGGGGCCCGCAAGGGUUACCAAGUUCAGUCAAACUCCGAAUGCCACAGACUUUAUUCCGGGAGUCAGACAGUGAGUGCUAAGAUCCAUUGUCGAAAGGGAAACAGCCCAGACCAUCAGCUAAGGUCCCCAAGUGUGUGUUAAGUGGGAAAGGAUGUGAAGUUGCACAGACAACCAGGAUGUUGGCUUAGAAGCAGC